rnacentral:tRNA from 1 species
GGGGAUAUAGCUCAGUAGUAGAGCACCUGUCUAACAUGCAGGAGACCCUUGAUUCAAUCCCUGUCUCUG